rnacentral:pre_miRNA from 1 species
UACUUGUUAUAAGAUUACUUGUCAGUUCAAGAUCUCGUUAUUUCUUGCCUGAACAAGUUAGCAAUAGCCUCCCUAACUGGUCUC